CUGGGCGUAAAGCGCACGCAGGCGGUUUGUUAAGUCAGAUGUGAAAUCCCCGGGCUCAACCUGGGAACUGCAUCUGAUACUGGCAAGCUUGAGUCUCGUAGAGGGGGGUAGAAUUCCAGGUGUAGCGGUGAAAUGCGUACAGAUCUGAAGGAAUACCGGUGGCGAAGGCGGCCCCCUGGACGAAGACUGACGCUCAGGUGCGAAAGC
rnacentral:rRNA from 1 species